UUUCCCGUUGAGCUUUUGAAGUUAGCACAU
rnacentral:piRNA from 1 species